AGAGUUUGAUCAUGGCUCAGAAUCAACGCUGGCGGCGUGCCUCAGACAUGCAAGUCGAACGAUUAAAGCUCUCUUCGGAGAGUGCAUAGAGUGGCGUACGGGAGAGUAACACGUAAGUAAUCUACCCUCGGGUGGGGAAUAACUUAAGGAAACUUAAGCUAAUACCGCAUAAUGCAGCGGCUCCAUAUGGAGACAGUUGUUAAAGCAUUUAUGCGCCUGGGGAGGAGCUUGCGGCAGAUUAGCUAGUUGGUAAGGUAACGGCUUACCAAGGCAACGAUCUGUAGCCGGUCUAAGAGGACGGUCGGUCUCACUGACACUGAAUAACGGGUCAGACUCCUACGGGAGGCAGCAGUCGGGAAUUUUGGGCAAUGGGCGAAAGCCUGACCCAGCAACGCCGCGUGAAGGAUGAAGUCUUUCGGGAUGUAAACUUCGGAAAUAUGGGAAGAAUAAAUGACGGUACCAUAUCUAAGGUCCGGCUAACUACGUGCCAGCAGCCGCGGUAAUACGUAGGGACCAAGCGUUGUUCGGAUUUACUGGGCGUAAAGGGUGCGUAGGCGGCGCUGCAAGUCAAUUGUGAAAUCUCCGGGCUUAACUCGGAACGGCCAAUUGAUACUGCAGUGCUAGAGUGCAGAAUGGGCAAGUGGAAUUCUUGGUGUAGCGGUGAAAUGCGUAGAUAUCAAGAGGAACACCUGAGGCGAAGGC
rnacentral:rRNA from 1 species